AGUGAACGCUGGCGGUAGGCCUAACACAUGCAAGUCGAACGGCAGCACAGUAAGAGCUUGCUCUUACGGGUGGCGAGUGGCGGACGGGUGAGGAAUACAUCGGAAUCUACUUUUUCGUGGGGGAUAAUGUAGGGAAACUUACGCUAAUACCGCAUACGACCUACGGGUGAAAGCAGGGGAUCUUCGGACCUUGCGCGAUUGAAUGAGCCGAUGUCGGAUUAGCUAGUUGGCGGGGUAAAGGCCCACCAAGGUGACGAUCCGUAGCUGGUCUGAGAGGAUGAUCAGCCACACUGGAACUGAGACACGGUCCAGACUCCUACGGGAGGCAGCAGUGGGGAAUAUUGGACAAUGGGCGCAAGCCUGAUCCAGCCAUACCGCGUGGGUGAAGAAAGCCUUCGGGUUGUAAAGCCCUUUUGUUGGGAAAGAAAAGCAGCAGGUUAAUACCCCGCUGUUCUGACGGUACCCAAAGAAUAAGCACCGGCUAACUUCGUG
rnacentral:rRNA from 1 species